UACGUAGGGCGCGAGCGUUGUCCGGAAUCACUGGGCGUAAAGGGCUCGCAGGCGGCCUGUCGCGUCGGCCGUGAAAGCCCGAGGCUCAACCUCGGAAGUGCGGUCGAUACGGGCAGGCUCGAGGGCGGUAGAGGGGAGUGGAACUCCCGGUGUAGCGGUGAAAUGCGCAGAUAUCGGGAGGAACACCGGUGGCGAAGGCGGCUCCCUGGACCGUACCUGACGCUCAGGAGCGAAAGCGUGGGGAGCAAACAGG
rnacentral:rRNA from 1 species